rnacentral:rRNA from 1 species
AGGUGCAGCGUCGCGUGUUUCUUGCCGGAGGUAGAGCUACUGGAUGGUCUAGGGGGCCUACAAGCUUACUGAAAUCAGCCAAACUCCGAAUGCCGGUAAGCCAUAGCGCGGCAGUGAGACUGCGGGGGAUAAGCUCCGUAGUCGAGAGGGAAACAACCCAGAUCACCAGCUAAGGCCCCUAAGCGUGUGCUAAGUGGGAAAGGAUGUGGAGUCGCAGAGACAACCAGGAGGUUGGCUUAGAAGCAGCCACCCUUGAAAGAGUGCGUAAUAGCUCACUGGUCAAGUGAUUCUGCGCCGACAAUUUAGCGGGGCUCAAGCACACCGCCGAAGCUGUGGCAUUCGCGCAAUAGCCCGGCCCUUUGUGGUAAUGGUUUCCGAUGUCUCAGUCGUUGCGGUUUCGGCCGCGGCGGCUUUGUCUAGGUUUCCGGCGCCUUUAGGGUCCAGGUGCGCGGAUGGGUAGGGGAGCGUCGGGUGGCGAGAGAAGCGGCGGAGUGAUCCAGCCGUGGACGCCACUCGAGUGAGAAUGCAGGCAUGAGUAGCGAAAGAGGGGUGAGAAACCCCUCCGCCGAAUGACCAAGGGUUCCUGGGGCAGGCUAAUCCGCCCAGGGUAAGUCGGGACCUAAGGCGAGGCCGACAGGCGUAGUCGAUGGACAACGGGUUGAUAUUCCCGUACCCGCUUAGAUGUGCCCAUGCCGAAUCUGGCGAUGCUAAGCACAUGACGCUGGUGAGCCCUUCGGGGCGAUCUGGCUGAUCGUGCGACCCAUACUGGUAGUAGGCAAGCCGAAGGGGUGACGCAGGAGGGUAGCUCUACCGGGCGAUGGUAGUCCCGGAGUAAGGGUGUAGGGCGAUGUGUAGGCAAAUCCGCACAUCAUUAAGCCUGAGACCUGACGCCGAGCCGAUUUAGGCGAAGUGAGUGAUCCCAUGCUGCCAAGAAAAACCUCGCGGCUAGCAUCUUAGCGGCCCGUACCCUAAACCGACUCAGGUGGUCAGGUAGAGAAUACCAAGGCGAUCGGGUGAACCGUGGUUAAGGAACUAGGCAAAUUAUCCCCGUAACUUUGGGAGAAGGGGAGCCGUGUCUGGUGAGGAAGCUUGCCUUCCGAGCUGGGUGCGGUCGCAGAUACCAGGGGAAAGCGACUGUUUACUAAAAACACAGGUCCGUGCAAAGUCGCAAGACGACGUAUACGGACUGACGCCUGCCCGGUGCUGGAACGUUAAGGGGAGGGGUUAGUAGCCUUCGGGUCGCGAAGCUCUGAACUUAAGCGCCAGUAAACGGCGGUGGUAACUAUAACCAUCCUAAGGUAGCGAAAUUCCUUGUCGGGUAAGUUCCGACCUGCACGAAUGGCGUAACGACUUUCCCACUGUCUCAACCACGGACCCGGCGAAAUUGCACUACGAGUAAAGAUGCUCGUUACGCGCAGCAGGACGGAAAGACCCCGGGACCUUCACUGCAGCUUGACAUUGGCGUUUGGAACGUCUUGUGUAGGAUAGGUGGGAGACUGUGAAGCAGAGACGCUAGUUUCUGUGGAGUCAUCGGUGAAAUACCACUCUGGUCGUUUUGGAUGUCUAACCUAGGUCCGUGAUCCGGAUCAGGGACAGUGUCUGGUGGGUAGUUUAACUGGGGCGGUUGCCUCCUAAAAGGUAACGGAGGCGCCCAAAGGUACCCUCAGCCUGGUUGGCAAUCAGGUGUCGAGUGCAAGUGCACAAGGGUGCUUGACUGUGAGACAGACAUGUCGAACAGGAGCGAAAGCUGGGACUAGUGAUCCGGCGGUGGCAUGUGGAAGCGCCGUCGCUAAACGGCUAAAAGGUACCCCGGGGAUAACAGGCUGAUCUUCCCCAAGAGUCCAUAUCGACGGGAUGGUUUGGCACCUCGAUGUCGGCUCGUCGCAUCCUGGGGCCGGAGCAGGUCCCAAGGGUUGGGCUGUUCGCCCAUUAAAGCGGUACGCGAGCUGGGUUUAGAACGUCGUGAGACAGUUCGGUCCCUAUCCGCUGCGCGCGUAAGAGACUUGAGAGGGGCUGUCCCUAGUACGAGAGGACCGGGACGGACGAACCUCUGGUGUGCCAGUUGUUCUGCCAAGAGCAUGGCUGGUUGGCUACGUUCGGAAGGGAUAACCGCUGAAAGCAUCUAAGCGGGAAGCUCGCCUCAAGAUAAGGUCUCUCUCGGAGUUAAUCCGGUAAGGCCCCCAGCAGACUACUGGGUUGA